AUUCUUAUAUGUUGAAAAGGUGAAAUAAAAACCGCGGGAACAAUCGAUUAAUAAGUUGAGUCGAUCAAUGAACGACCAAAAGUUAUUCGAUCGAAGGUUUAGAGGUUAACGCAUACCAUACGCGAUCAGAUAACGCGAAUACUAGUUUCGUACGUUGAGUCAGCUGCUGAUAAAAGAGCGCAGUCACGACACGCAACGUUGGAUGAUGUUUAUUAAUGCAUUAACUAUCGUGAUCAAUUGUUCCGAUCCGUUGAUCUUACUUACCAAUUAAAUAAAAGAUCGAUGCCUUCGCAAGUCUGUCCUCGUCAUGUAUGAUAAAACUGUCGUUCUUCUUUUCAAAACUGAAAGACGAAAAGUUGAUUAUUUCAAACGAGAAGCACGCACACACACGUACACACACAAAAAAGCCUCGAAACAAAGGAAAGAUAGCAAAAACUUUUUACCUACACCGGAAAUGAAACGAAGGGAAAAACAGCAUGCAUUUGUAAUCAUUGGAUUUUAUGACACGUCGAACGAAAGUGAAAGUAAUAUUGUAUAUUAUCGUCUGCGUACAAUAUUCCAGAGAUAAACGCGAAAACUUUGUUCGAAAGAAUAUUAUUUGUUUGUAAUGAUCGUCGAUUGCACAGGAUUCGGGCAAAGCUUUUUGUCGUGAGAAUUCUAACCUCACCUGAGAGAAUGCGAUUGCUUCGAGGAUCGCUGGGCCCGUUACUCAUCAACAGGAAUAGCGCGGACACGGAUAGGAAGCACCAUUUUCUGUUCAAACGCGAAUCGCAUUAUGUUUAGUUGGCGAUUCAACAAAUACAGGCAGGCACACGAUAAAGUCGUAACACAAAAAUGUACCUCGCUUUCUUUUGCCUGAUAUGUAAAGCGUCAUCCGCCAGUUGGCGCUACGAUGAUGAA